GUAAGGAAUAUUGGACAAUGGGCGAAAGCCUGAUCCAGCCAUGCCGCGUGAAGGAUUAAGGUCCUCUGGAUUGUAAACUUCUUUUAUUUGGGACGAAAAAAGGGAAUUCUUUCCCACUUGACGGUACCAAGUGAAUAAGCACCGGCUAACUCCGUGCCAGCAGCCGCGGUAAUACGGAGGGUGCAAGCGUUAUCCGGAUUCACUGGGUUUAAAGGGUGCGUAGGCGGGUAUGUAAGUCAGUGGUGAAAUCUCGGAGCUUAACUCCGAAACUGCCAUUGAUACUAUAUAUCUUGAAUAUUGUGGAGGUUUGCGGAAUAUGUCAUGUAGCGGUGAAAUGCUUAGAUAUGACAUAGAACACCUAUUGCGAAGGCAGCAGGCUACACAUAUAUUGACGCUGAGGCACGAAAGCGUGGGGAUCAAACAGGAUUAGAAACCCCUGUAGUCC
rnacentral:rRNA from 1 species